GAUGAACGCUAGCUACAAGCUUAACACAUGCAAGUCGAGGGGCAGCGCAGUGUAGCAUUACAUGGGCGGCGACCGGCGCACGGGUGCGUAACGCGUAUCCAACCUUCCCGUUACUCAGGGAUAGCCUUCCGAAAGGGAGAUUAAUACCUGAUGGUGUUGAAAUUCCGCAUGUUAUUUCAACUAAAGAUUUAUCGGUAACGGAUGGGGAUGCGUGACAUUAGGUAGAUGGCGGGGUAACGGCCCACCAUGCCUACGAUGUCUAGGGGUUCUGAGAGGAAGGUCCCCCAACCUGGAAAGGAGACACGGUCCAGACUCCUACGGGAGGCAGCAGUGAGGAAUAUUGGUCAAUGGCCGGAAGGCUGAACCAGCCAAGUAGCGUGAAGGAUGAAGGUUCUAUGGAUUGUAAACUUCUUUUAUACGGGAAUAAAACCUCCCACGUGUGGGAGCUUGUAUGUACCGUAUGAAUAAGCAUCGGCUAACUCCGUGCCAGCCGCCGCAGUAAGAC
rnacentral:rRNA from 1 species